rnacentral:rRNA from 1 species
AAUAAAAUUUUUAUUAUUAAGCAUUUAUUUUAAUAUGAAUAUUUUUAAAUGAAAUAUUAUUAAUUUAUUUUUAUUUAAGUAUAUUAAAGAAAAAAAUAAUAUAAUUAUAGUUUAUUAGUAAUGAGAAUGAAUUAUCUUAAUUAAAUAUUAAGAAUUUUUUGUUUAGAGUACCUUUUGUAUCAGGGUUUAUUUAUUUUAAAAUUAAAAUUUAAUUAAUUUCGAAUUUAAAAGAUUUAAUUUAUUAUUUUUUAUAUUGUGGUAUAAAUAUUUAUAAUAAUAAAUUAGUAAUGAAAUGUUAAUCGUUUUUAAAUAUAUCUAGUUUUUUUAGAAAAAAAUUUAAUUUUAUUAUAAAUUAUUAUUUAAAUUAAAAUUUAAAUUUAAUUAUUAAUUUAUAAAAAARUUUUUAGGGAUAAGCUUAAAAAUUAAAUUAAAUUUUUUAAUUAUAAAAAUAAUUAAAUUUAUGAUUAGAAAUUUCAAUAAUAUAAAUAAUUUUAUAAUUUAUAUAUAAAAAUAUAAAUUUUUAUAAUAAUUAAUUUAUUUAUAAAAAUAUUUAAUUAAAUUGUUAAUUAAAAUAAUAAUGAUAAAAUUAGUAUAUAAUAUAUAAUUAAAUAUUUUUAGUUUGAAAAUUAAAGAUAAGGAAUUCGGCAAAAUAAUUGUUCGCCUGUUUAUCAAAAACAUGGUUUUUUGUUUAUAAUUUAAGAUUUAAUCUGCCCACUGAUUAAUUAAAGGGCCGCAGUAUUUUGACUGUGCAAAGGUAGCAUAAUCAUUUGUUUCUUAAUUGUUGACUUGUAUGAAUGAUUGGACGAAAUAAUUACUGUCUCUUUUUUGUUUAAAAUAAAAAUUUAUUUUUAAGUUAAAAAGCUUAAAUUAAUUUUAAGGACGAGAAGACCCUAUAGAGUUUAAUUAAUUUAGUAAAAAUUUUUAUUUUUGUAUUUAAAUUUUUUUUAUAAAUGUUAAUUUAAUUGGGGUGAUUAAAAAAUUUAUUAAACUUUUUAAAGUAUUUAUCAAAAAUUUUUGUUUAUUUUUGAUCCAAAAUUUUUGAUUAUUUGAUUAAAUUACCUUAGGGAUAACAGCGUUAUUAUUUUGGAAAGUUCAUAUUAAUAAAAUAGUUUGCGACCUCGAUGUUGAAUUAAGAUAAAUUUUUGGUGCAGUAAUUAAAAUUUUUAGUCUGUUCGACUAUUAAAUUCUUACAUGAUUUGAGUUCAAACCGGUGUGAGCCAGGUUGGUUUCUAUCCUAAAUAAUAUAAAAUAUUUUAGUACGAAAGGACCAUAUAUUUAAUUAAAAAUUUUAUUAGUGA